AAAUAAUCAUAAUGAAAAACACUUUGAUCUCAAAAUUUAAUAAUAGUUAUAAUCAUCAUAAAUAAAAGACAUUAUGAUAGUCAUUGUCCUAACCAUAAAUAAGUAUUCCAAAUCGGGGUUGAUAGAAUUUGUAUCCUAAAAUAUCCUUCCUCUCCCUCCUCUUUAGAGUUCAAAACAUAUGAAGAAAAGGUCAACCAAUUAACUAACUGCAUACAUUGAAUAAAAUAUCAAGUGAAAGACGAGAUACAAGUACAACUAUUGCUUCUCUCAAUUUUUUUUCUUUCUUUUCAAUUAGUGGCUAGCUAGCUACAAUUAAUGCAAGAGAAAAGAAAAUACACAGCAAGCUACCCUAACAUUUAAUAAAAUCCAAGUACAACUUCAGCUAAAUAUCGUUAAUCCCAAGUCCAAGCAUGCAUAGUCGAACAUUUUCUUUCUUUCUUUUUUUGCAAUUUUUUUUCUUCUUCACCUUAACUAGUAAAUCCAUGAAUGGACUAUCAAAACUAAUUAGCUUCAAAUAAACGAAAUGUUAGUGCUUGUUAAUUAAUUGUUGAUGGAGUGACCAACACCAGGGCUAUGGCCUGGCGUUGUUGGCCUAAAAUCGUCCACUUCAUAUUCUACGCGUCUUAACCCUUCUUGGUGCACCUCAUAAGAAGCUACACUCAUGGUGUUUUUUUGAGAUUUGGAGCACUCUUUGCACAACGGACACUUCAAGUUCCUACCUUGGACAAAGAGAACUUGGUGGUGCAAAAUCAAAAACAAAAAGAGAACGAAGGCAAUGUUUCGGAGGCUAGAGUUUUCCAUGUUAGUUAAUAGGUAGGUAAUGUGAACUAAGAUGAUGUAUAUGUGUUUGGAAGAGAAAUAUGGAGAAGAAUGAGGAGUGUUGGAAGAGGGAAUUGAAGGUAUAUAGAUGUUUGAUACUGAAAAUGUUGGUCCAUGUAGGUUGGUAUUUAUAUGCGAGGGUUGCGAAACAGAAAAUGGAAUCUAAAUAAAGUUUUAAGGUUUGGGCGACCACAGCUUGUGAUGUAUUUCACUCCUCAUCGCUGGGAAAAUAUUCUUUGUGGAGACAUCCUGUAAACUACAUUAACUGUUUAAGCCCAACCUCUCGAGUUAAAGAACUCCUAUCUUGUUUGCUUUGUCUAGUUGUAUUGUUCUUAUUCUCUCUCUUUCCC
rnacentral:lncRNA from 1 species